rnacentral:rRNA from 1 species
UUGUAUGACUCUCGGCAAUGGAUAUCUUGGCUCUUGCAUCGAUGAAGAGCGCAGCGAAAUGCGAUACGUGGUGUGAAUUGCAGAAUCCCGUGAACCAUCAAGUCUUUAAACGCAAGUUGCGCCCGAGGCCAAUUGGCUAAGGGCACGUCCGCCU